rnacentral:rRNA from 1 species
UACAGAGGUCCCAAGCGUUGUUCGGAUUCACUGGGCGUAAAGGGCGCGUAGGCGGCCCGGCGCGUCCGCGGUGAAAGCUCCCGGCUCAACUGGGAGAGGUCCGCGGAAACGGUCGGGCUGGAGCAAGGUAGGGGGUCGUGGAAUUCCCGGUGUAGUGGUGGAAUGCGUAGAGAUCGGGAGGAACACCAGUGGCGAAGGCGGCUGCCUGGCCAAAUACUGACGCUGAAGCGCGAAAGCGUGGGGAGCAAACAGG